rnacentral:rRNA from 1 species
AUUGAACGCUGGCGGCAGGCCUAACACAUGCAAGUCGAACGAGUGGCGGACGGGUGAGUAAUGUCUGGGAAACUGCCUGAUGGAGGGGGAUAACUACUGGAAACGGUAGCUAAUACCGCAUACCAUCAGAUGUGCCCAGAGGGGAUUAGCUAGGUGGUGGGGUAACGGCUCACCAAGGCGACGAUCCGGAGCUGGUCUGAGAGGAUGACCAGCCACAAGGGAACUGAGACACGGUCCUGACUCGUACGGUAGGCAGCAGUGGGGAAGAGUGCACAAUGGGCGCAAGCCUGAUGCAGCCAUGCCGCGUGUAUGAAGAAGGCCUUCGGGUUGUAAAGUACUUUCAGCGGGGAGGCGUUACCCGCAGAAGAAGCACCGGCUAACUCCGUGCCAGAAGCCGCGGUAAUAC